AGGGUUUGAUUCUGGCUCAGGAUGAACGCUGGCGGCAUGCCUAAGACAUGCAAGUCGAACGAGAUGGCCCAGUGAAGGUUGAGUGCUUGCACAAGACUGAAUCUGGAUUCCCAUCUAGUGGCAGACGGGUGAGUAACACGUGGGUGACCUACCUUUUCGUUGGGGAUAACAGUUGGAAACGAUUGCUAAUACCGAAUAAAAUGUAAGAGUCAAUUUUACAUUGAAAGGAGCCUUUAAAGCUUUGCGAUUAGAUGGGCCUGCGGCGUAUUAACUAGUUGGUGAGGUAAUGGCUUACCAAGGUGACGAUGCGUAGCCGAACUGAGAGGUUGAUCGGCCACAUUGGGACUGAGACACGGCCCAA
rnacentral:rRNA from 1 species